CAUACACGCCAGUGGUACGCGGGUACACAUAUAAACGACCCGCACUCACCCGACGUUUUCAACCAACCUGACUGCAACUCGGACCGCAAGUAUUAAUUAAAAUAAUGUACCCGACCCAGGUAUUUUAAAAGUU